UGAAUCCAAUUGGCUACCGAGGACUGAAGAUUGAAGUGGAAGAAGGAAUGAUGGAGACGACGAAUUGUUGUUUUUCAAUAGAAUGAGAUCAUCAGCAGUAGAUGUACUUGCAGAUGAAGUUGGUGGAUGAUUAGAGAAAUUGCUUUGAU
ensembl:ncRNA F45E4.18 ncRNA